rnacentral:lncRNA from 1 species
AGACAGGUUUGGUUUUCUGUUCUUUCCUCUAGAAAAUACUGCUAUAAUCACUACAGAGAUGGAGAGUUCUGCUUAGCUCCCAUCUUUGUAUUCAAAACUGGAAAAAUUACAAGUGCUCGAAGUUUAUCCUGUCCAGUGUUGCAGGACAAGGAGAUGUGGCUGAAAAGGACAGAAGGAAAAGAGAGGAGACCAGCUGACAGAAGGAAACUAGC